rnacentral:rRNA from 1 species
AUUGAACGCUGGCGGCAGGCCUAACACAUGCAAGUCGAGCGGAUGAAGGGAGCUUGCUCCUGGAUUCAGCGGCGGACGGGUGAGUAAUGCCUAGGAAUCUGCCUGGUAGUGGGGGAUAACGUCCGGAAACGGGCGCUAAUACCGCCUACGUCCUGCGGGAGAAAGUGGGGGAUCUUCGGACCUCACGCUAUCAGAUGAGCCUAGGUCGGAUUGGCUAGUUGGUGGGGUAAAGGCCUACCAAGGCGACGAUCCGUAACUGGCCUGAGAGAAUGAUCAGUCACACUGGAGCUGGGACACGGUCCAGAGUCCUACGGGAGGCAGCAGUGGGGAAUAUUGGACAAUAGGCGAAAGCCUGAUCCAGCCAUGCCGCGUGUGUGAAGAAGGUCUUCGGAUUGUAAAGCACUUUAAGUUGGGAGGAAGGGCAGUAAGUUAAUACCUUGCUGUUUUGACGUUACCAACAGAAGAAGCACCGGCUAACUUCGUG